CUCCAAUGAUGAUUCAGCCAUGCUAAUACUGAUGCAUCAGACAGAUGCAUGCCAUCUGGCUGGGUGUGUGUGAGUUCAACUCAACUUCUCAUGCUGAUGGGA
rnacentral:snoRNA from 1 species